CCUUAAUAUAAAAAGAGCGACAACCCUAGAGAUAUUACACACUACUUGAUCUUAUCCGAGCGGUGAUGGAUUUGUGGAGGCGGGGAUGAGAGAGAGUCACCCACCGCCUUUUACAGGGUGGCCGAUGGCGGCUACGCUCUUUAACCACCACUUACGCCUCCCCAUCUUACACUGCGAUGAAGACUGCCCGCAGUCAUAGCCCUCCUUAAUUUCAUUGAUUCAUCGAAUCAAUGAAUUGGGCGAUGAUGGCCAAGCGGGCUAUUCCCAUCCAACUCAAAAAAACUCACAAUUUCGAUUCUUUUUGUUUGAUAUUUUUAUUUAUUAUUUUUUUGAUUAAUACACUUCUAGUGUUUGUAUAAGUUAUGAUGCAGAUAACAUUCAAAUAAAAAAAUCUCGGAAGCAUUCUCAAAAAUCAGAAUGAAUAGUAUGUGGUUCGGUCUCAGAACUUUGUUAGAAGGAUAAUUACAUGAUACCAUCUGAGUCAUAUGACCAUGGCAUGCCUUUGGAUGGUCAAAGGCAGAUGAUCAGUUCAUUGGUGGUUGAAGUUCAUAACUAUCUUCUCAAACAAAUGCAGCCCAGAAGAGUUGCUUGCUCAUUUUAGAAGACUCACACGUGCGCAUGGCAAGUUUUGGCCUUCUAGAACUUUCCUUGAUUUGUUUUUCAAAUAGUAUUGAUAUGCUUCAAGUUGAGUUAGGCUAUGACGAUGCAUGUUCCUGGAUUACAUCCAAUGAGAAAUCCUCUACCUUCUUCUGGAAUCCAAUUUACUGUGUUUUAGAUACUCAUUUGAAGUCUUCUUGUUACUAUGGAAGAAUGAGAAGCAAUUACUCUGAAAAUAUGUCACUGGAAGUGCAAGUUUCAUAUAGUUAGAAAAUUUGAUAUCACAAUGUAAUGUGGAAAAGAAGUCAUUUGGUUUUAAAAUGCACUCUUAGCUAUGCUUGGGGGAAUUAUUAUUGGAA